AUGGUAAUUGAUUUUAGAAAAUUAAACAAAGCAACUAGAAAAGAUCAUUACCCUUUUCCUUUUAUUGAUCAAAUGCUUGAAAGAUUAUCUAAGCACACACACUUUUGCUUCCUUGAUGGAUAUUCUGGUUUUUCACGAAUACCUGUUUCUCAACCUGAUCAAGAAAAGACCACUUUUACUUGUCCUUUUGGAACCUAUGCUUAUAGACGUAUGCCUUUUGGUUUAUGUAAUGCACUUGCUACCUUUCAAAGAUGUAUGACUACUAUAUUAUCUGACUUUUGUGAAAAGAUUAUUGAGGUUUUCAUGGAUGACUUUUCUGUUUAUGGGAAGUCUUUUGAUGAUUGUUUAAGAAAUCUUGAUCGAGUUUUGCAGAGAUGUGAACAAACAAAUCUUGUCUUGAAUUGGGAGAAGUGCCACUUUAUGGUUAAUGAAGGCAUUGUCUUGGGUCAUAAAAUUUCUGAAAGAGGUAUUCAAGUGGACAAAGCUAAGUUUGAUGCAACUGAAAAAAAUGCCAUGUCCUAA
rnacentral:rRNA from 1 species